UACGGGGGGGGUAAGCGUUGUUCGGAAUUACUGGGCGUAAAGGGCUCGUAGGCGGCCAACUAAGUCGGACGUGAAAUCCCUCAGCUUAACUGGGGAACUGCGUCCGAUACUGGAUGGCUUGGAUUUGGGAGAGGAUGCGGAAUUCCAGGUGUAGCGGUGAAAUGCGUAGAUAUCUGGAGGAACACCGGUGGCGAAGGCGGCAUCCUGGACCAAUAUUGACGCUGAGGAGCGAAAGCGUGGGGAGCGAACAGG
rnacentral:rRNA from 1 species